UACGGAGGGUGCAAGCGUUAUCCGGAUUCACUGGGUUUAAAGGGUGCGUAGGUGGGUCUGUAAGUCAGUGGUGAAAUCUCCGAGCUUAACUCGGAAACUGCCAUUGAUACUAUAGGUCUUGAAUUAUCUGGAGGUGAGCGGAAUAUGUCAUGUAGCGGUGAAAUGCUUAGAUAUGACAUAGAACACCAAUUGCGAAGGCAGCUGGCUACACAAAUAUUGACACUGAGGCACGAAAGCGUGGGGAUCAAACAGG
rnacentral:rRNA from 1 species